rnacentral:rRNA from 1 species
ACGAACGCUGGCGGCGUGCCUAAUACAUGCAAGUCGAACGCACUCUCGUUUAGAUUGAAGGAGCUUGCUCCUGAUUGAUAAACAUUUGAGUGAGUGGCGGACGGGUGAGUAACACGUGGGUAACCUGCCCUAAAGUGGGGGAUAACAUUUGGAAACAGAUGCUAAUACUGCAUAAAACCUAACACCGCAUGGUGUAGGGUUGAAAGAUGGUUUCGGCUAUCACUUUAGGAUGGACCCGCGGUGCAUUAGUUAGUUGGUGAGGUAAAGGCUCACCAAGACCGUGAUGCAUAGCCGACCUGAGAGGGUAAUCGGCCACACUGGGACUGAGACACGGCCCAGACUCCUACGGGAGGCAGCAGUAGGGAAUCUUCCACAAUGGACGAAAGUCUGAUGGAGCAACGCCGCGUGAGUGAAGAAGGUCUUCGGAUCGUAAAACUCUGUUGUUGGAGAAGAAUGUAUCUGAUAGUAACUGAUCAGGUAGUGACGGUAUCCAACCAGAAAGCCACGGCUAACUACGUG